AGAGUUGGUUUGUGUUGAUUUAUGAUUGACAACAGAAAAUACAUUACUUCAACAAAUGUUAGCUUUUUACACAUAAAAGUUAUGUAAAAUCUCCUAUGAAAUGAUUUAUCUAAAUCUAAUUCCCUGCAGAAUGCCUGUUAAAAAGAAAAACUGAAGAAAUUUCGAAACUAGAUAAUUGCAACUGAAGAAGUAAAAACACCGAUAUUCAUGGUGUCGUAUCGAGGCUUUAGUUCUCCAGUAUUUAUUUUGUGUAAAAGUGGAUGAAAGCACAAAAGAAGCGAAACGAUAAACUUUAAAGCAGAGUUUUGUCAUGCGAUUAUGUUAGUGAUAUGAGGCAGAAAAUUACUAUCUUAGAACAGUUUUGCAUCAAAUCAUUGUUUAA